rnacentral:lncRNA from 1 species
AAAACAAACAAACAAACAAAAAAAAUCGUAACGUGCAAACAGAUUUCAUCUAUUCCAAUGCUUGUACAUAGACAUUAUUAGCAUUUCAUCAGGAUAUUUCCGUUAUUUAAGAUUGUCAUGGAAUUGCAGCAUCACCAGCCUUGGGCUCCAAUUCCAGCAACAUACCACACAAAUACAUAAACACACCUGCCUGCCCUUCUUCAUGGUCUUUAAAUCAACAUGUCUAUUUCCAAACAACCCCUAGGUAGGUAAGGGAAGAAAGCAUCAUCACCUACUAAUUUACCUUAAUCACAGGGCAGUAAGUAGCACAGAAUUGUAAAUGGAGGCUAUUAAAACAGCAAAUGGUCCAUGAGUUACAUAAGAAUAUUAGAGAGCACUGGUCAGCAAGUCAGGUUAUUUAUCCAACACCUACUACAUAAUGGGGCACAGUUCUAAAUGUUAGGGAAAAAGGAAAAAUAUAUACAUAUUCUAAUGGGAAAAGACAUGUAAAUAAUUUACAAAGUCAAAAAAUAAUUACAAGCUCAUCCAAGCAAAAUCUAUUUUAUCAUUCUUAGAAUACUGUCAUGGGGGCAACUGGGUGGUAAGGUGCUCAAUGUCACCCUACCUGAAAAGAAAGCAUCAGUCAUAAAUGGGCUGCUUUCAACCCCUACGAAAGCAGAACAGCAGAAGGCAGCCUUAAAAUGAUAAUGGCCAUGGCUUGGCUGGGCACGGUGGCUCACGCCUGUAAUCCCAGUACUUUGGGAGGCUGAGGCGGGCAAAUCACUUGGGGUCAGGAGUUCGAGACCAGCCUGGCCAACAUGGCAAAACGCCAUCUCUACUAAAAAUACAAAAAUCAGCCAGGCGUGGUGGCACACACCUGUAAUCCCAGCUACUCAGUGGCUGAGGCAGAACUGCUUGAACCCAGGAGGCAGAGGGU